GAACACAAUGGUUUAUCUAGAUCAUAAAGGGUACCUCUCUGUCCAGAAAUUAAAAAGCUUGCCUUUUGUCACUGCUCCAAAUAAAUUGGAAGCUCUGGCUGCUCAUGAUGCUCUGGUGGAGCUCUGUGGAGCCAUGAACACUGCCACCUGCAGUCUGAUGAAGAUAGCAAAUGAUAUUCAUUUUCUGAGUUCUGGUCCUUGGCCAGGUCUGGGAGAACUGAUCUUGCUGAAAAUACAACAGGAAGCAGUAUCGUGCCAGGCAAGGCAAACCCUCGUCAGUGUGAAGCAAUGGCCAUCGUUGCAGCCCAAGUCAUGGGGUUUUGUGUGGCAGUAACCGUUGGAGGCGGCAAUGGCCAUUUUGAGUUGGAUGUUUUCAAGCCAAUGAUGAUUAAAAAUUUAUGUUACACUCAGGCUGCUGGGGGAUGCUUCAGUUUCCUUCACAGAAAACUAAAUAGUGGGAAUCCGGACCAAUAAAGAAAGGAUCAAGAAGCUAAUGAAUUAGUCGCUAAUGCUGGUGACAGCUCUCAACCCUCAUAUAGGGUAUGACAAAACAGCAGAAUUGCUAAGACAACACCCCAAAAUGGAUCAACCUUAAAGGAAACUGCCGUUGAACUUGGCUCUCUCACAGCAGAGCAGUUUGAUGAAUGGGUAAAACCUAAGGACAUGCUGGGUCCAAAGUGA
rnacentral:lncRNA from 1 species